AAGUCAAUUUCUCUCAAUUAGUAUAAAUUGCAACCUGUAUUAUAAUAUAAUAUAAUCAUAUGUCAAUGGUAACCACUAGCUUCAUCAUUUGCUUCUAACCUGACAGGAUGAAUACUCAAUAUUUCCUCAAGCUUACUCAAUGGGGAUCCAUGGUUAUAUUCUUGUUUUUUCUGUUACAUCACAGAAAAGGUAAUUUAAAAGUUAACAACUAGACCUUUUUUAAAUUAUACCAAACACGGAUAAACAUGCACUUAAUGCGAUGUCCCAACAGGACAAUUUUUAGGAAUAAUUUGCAAUGCAAGUGAUGUUACGUUGGAAGCUGAAAUUUGAUUGGCUCGGCAACGAUUUGAAUUGAGAGUUUGCGUUUGACGUCAUUAUGAAAAAGGUCUACUGACCAAUACAUGUAUGUUUAAUAUUAUUUAAACGGUAUAGUAUUGGUUGGUUUCAGAAAUCUCAAAGAGGUUCCCAGUAGAGUGAGCAGGUAAUGGUAAACUUCGGAAAUAUUGACAUAAUUAUGUACUGUAUGAUUGCAAGAAAAUGAAACUAAUUUUUCAAAUCAAAUUACAGAUGCCUCUAUAAAUACGUUAAUACAAGACUACUCACGUAGCAACGGACAACCUGUUCCUGGUUGAUCUCGACAGGCUUGAACAAGGUUGUGCUGCACUUUCAGAAAUCAGAACAAGUUAUCAACAAUGUUGUUAUAGCAUUGGUCAGUUGUAACAAUGCCGUAACAACAUUGUUGACAACUUGUUCUUAGGGUGCAGUACAACUUUGUUCAAGCCUGUCGAUAUCAACUGGGAGCAGGUUGUUCAUUCUUACAGUGUACUACAGAUAAUGAAAAGAUUUAACAUUAUUCUCUCUCUUCUAGCUAUCUAGUAGUACGCCCACCAUCGUAUAUAGUAAAUAUGCGUGUAAGAGGUUUAACAUUUACAGUCUCUACAAUCUAUAGCAAUGCUAUAUUUUCAUCUUUAGUUUUGAUGUGAUCCAAGUUAUUCACGACAAGUUAUUGGAUUUCACAGGACAAAAUGG
rnacentral:lncRNA from 1 species